rnacentral:rRNA from 1 species
UACGUAGGUGGCGAGCGUUGUCCGGAAUUACUGGGUGUAAAGCGCGUGUAGGCGGGAGGCCAAGUCUGUGGUGAAAUCGCUCGGCUUAACUGGGCGGGGUCCAUGGAAACUGGUCACCUGGAGGUCGGUAGAGGCAAGUGGAAUUCCCGGUGUAGUGGUGAAAUGCGUAGAGAUCGGGAGGAACACCAGUGGCGAAGGCGGCUAUCUGGAUGAGUAUUGACACUGAGGCUCGGAAAGCGUG